CUAUUUGGUGCCGGGGUCACCACCCCAGCAGGUGCUGCUGCGCCGGGAGACGAGCGAGUGGAGGCAGACAUGGUUGAACACUUGACAUGUGAGAGCCUGAGGAGUUGUUCCCCCUCCGUCCAUUUUCAAGGACUUGCUCUCUCUCUGCCUCCACUUCACCACUUUUUGGCUACUGAGACGUCUCUGAUUGGUUGAGUUGACCACCCUAUAUAUGAGAGCCUAAGGAGUUGUUUUCCCUCUGUCCCCUUUUGAGGACCUGCUUUGUCUCCUCCAUCAUUCACUGGGCCACUUUUGGGUUCCUGAGCUUAUUUCAUGUGGUCAUGAAUUUGGUGAGGAGUGGAGCUGGCUGGCUGCGGACGAGGAAGUAGGGCAAUAUAUACAUGUGCACAUACACGUAUAUGAGAAUGCAUAUCUAUUCAGACCUGUAAUUCAUGUCUUAGACUUUUUCACACAGCUAUAGAUCAUUAUUUGUUUUUCAAUUCUCUAUUUAUGGUUUCAUAAUGACUGAGUCACCGUUAAAACAAAUGAGUUUCAGCUCUAAUGCUGCUACUGUCUGUAAUAUGUUUCUAUUUAGAUUAUUUGUCAGGAGAUUUUGUUAUUAUUGUCCCAGUCUGCUUUUAACUAAUGCUGGGCUUACACCAAAAGAUUUUCACAGUCACAGACUAAAAACUGAAAGGGUAGCAUGAGGGUUCUUCCCGUUAGUCUCGUCCCACCCCUAGUCAUGACAUAACUUCUGUUGUGAUUUGACACUAUAAUGAAUAAAGACUGAUUGAUUGAUUGCUA